UGCCAUUUUAGUCUAAUUCAGUGAAAUUUUUAUCCCUAAGAAAAGCAGGAAUGCAUUUUUUUAACCAAACAGAUUGAGUUGUUGUAGUUUAUUCUUGGUUAUCAAAAUAUUCAUGUAGCUUUGGGAUUUUGAAUUGGUAAAUUUGUAACAUUUGGAAAAGCAUGACACAAACCAUAGAUCUCAGUUAC